UUUCGGCAAGGGGGUCAUCCCGACUUACCAACCCGAUGCAAACUGCGAAUACCGGAGAAUGUUAUCACGGGAGACACACGGCGGGUGCUAACGUCCGUCGUGAAGAGGGAAACAACCCAGACCGCCAGCUAAGGUCCCAAAGUCAUGGUUAAGUGGGAAACGAUGUGGGAAGGCCCAGACAGCCAGGAUGUUGGCUUAGAAGCAGCCAUCAUUUAAAGAAAGCGUAAUAGCUCACUGGUCGAGUCGGCCUGCGCGGAAGAUGUAACGGGGCUAAACCAUGCACCGAAGCUGCGGCAGCGACGCUGAUGCGUUGUUGGGUAGGGGAGCGUUCUGUAAGCCUGUGAAGGUGUGCUGUGAGGCAUGCUGGAGGUAUCAGAAGUGCGAAUGCUGACAUAAGUAACGAUAAAGCGGGUGAAAAGCCCGCUCGCCGGAAGACCAAGGGUUCCUGUCCAACGUUAAUCGGGGCAGGGUGAGUCGACCCCUAAGGCGAGGCCGAAAGGCGUAGUCGAUGGGAAACAGGUUAAUAUUCCUGUACUUGGUGUUACUGCGAAGGGGGGACGGAGAAGGCUAUGUUGGCCGGGCGACGGUUGUCCCGGUUUAAGCGUGUAGGCUGGUUUUCCAGGCAAAUCCGGAGAAUCAAGGCUGAGGCGUGAUGACGAGGCACUACGGUGCUGAAGCAACAAAUGCCCUGCUUCCAGGAAAAGCCUCUAAGCAUCAGGUAACAUCAAAUCGUACCCCAAACCGACACAGGUGGUCAGGUAGAGAAUACCAAGGCGCUUGAGAGAACUCGGGUGAAGGAACUAGGCAAAAUGGUGCCGUAACUUCGGGAGAAGGCACGCUGAUGGUAGGUGAAGCGACUUGCUCGUGGAGCUGAAAUCAGUCGAAGAUACCAGCUGGCUGCAACUGUUUAUUAAAAACACAGCACUGUGCAAACACGAAAGUGGACGUAUACGGUGUGACGCCUGCCCGGUGCCGGAAGGUUAAUUGAUGGGGUCAGCGCAAGCGAAGCUCUUGAUCGAAGCCCCGGUAAACGGCGGCCGUAACUAUAACGGUCCUAAGGUAGCGAAAUUCCUUGUCGGGUAAGUUCCGACCUGCACGAAUGGCGUAAUGAUGGCCAGGCUGUCUCCACCCGAGACUCAGUGAAAUUGAACUCGCUGUGAAGAUGCAGUGUACCCGCGGCAAGACGGAAAGACCCCGUGAACCUUUACUAUAGCUUGACACUGAACACUGGUCCUUGAUGUGUAGGAUAGGUGGGAGGCUUUGAAGUGUGGACGCCAGUCUGCAUGGAGCCGUCCUUGAAAUACCACCCUUUAAUGGCUGGUGUUCUAACGUUGGCCCCUUAUCGGGGUUGCGGACAGUGUCUGGUGGGUAGUUUGACUGGGGCGGUCUCCUCCUAAAGAGUAACGGAGGAGCACGAAGGUUGGCUAAUCCUGGUCGGACAUCAGGAGGUUAGUGCAAUGGCAUAAGCCAGCUUGACUGCGAGCGUGACGGCGCGAGCAGGUGCGAAAGCAGGUCAUAGUGAUCCGGUGGUUCUGAAUGGAAGGGCCAUCGCUCAACGGAUAAAAGGUACUCCGGGGAUAACAGGCUGAUACCGCCCAAGAGUUCAUAUCGACGGCGGUGUUUGGCACCUCGAUGUCGGCUCAUCACAUCCUGGGGCUGAAGUAGGUCCCAAGGGUAUGGCUGUUCGCCAUUUAAAGUGGUACGCGAGCUGGGUUUAGAACGUCGUGAGACAGUUCGGUCCCUAUCUGCCGUGGGCGCUGGAGAACUGAGGGGGGCUGCUCCUAGUACGAGAGGACCGGAGUGGACGCAUCACUGGUGUUCGGGUUGUCAUGCCAAUGGCACUGCCCGGUAGCUAAAUGCGGAAGAGAUAAGUGCUGAAAGCAUCUAAGCACGAAACUUGCCCCGAGAUGAGUUCUCCCUGAGACUUUAAGUCUCCUGAAGGAACGUUGAAGACGACGACGUUGAUAGGCCGGGUGUGUAAGCGCAGCGAUGCGUUGAGCUAACCGGUACUAAUGAACCGUGAGGCUUAACCUUACAACGCCGAAGGUGUUU
rnacentral:rRNA from 1 species